AUUGAACGCUGGCGGCAUGCUUUACACAUGCAAGUCGAACGGCAGCGCGGGCUUCGGCCUGGCGGCGAGUGGCGAACGGGUGAGUAAUACAUCGGAACGUGCCCAGUAGUGGGGGAUAGCUCGGCGAAAGCCGGAUUAAUACCGCAUACGACCUGAGGGUGAAAGAGGGGGAUCUUCGGACCUCGCGCUAUUGGAGCGGCCGAUGGCAGAUUAGCUAGUUGGUGGGGUAAAGGCCUACCAAGGCGACGAUCUGUAGCUGGUCUGGGAGGACGACCAGCCACACUGGGACUGAGACACGGCCCAGACUCCUACGGGAGGCAGCAGUGGGGAAUUUUGGACAAUGGGCGAAAGCCUGAUCCAGCAAUGCCGCGUGUGUGAUGAAGGCCUUCGGGUUGUAAAGCACUUUUGGCGGGAACGAAAAGGACUGUGCCAAUACCACGGUUCGAUGACGGUACCCGCAGAAUAAGCACCGGCUAACUACGUG
rnacentral:rRNA from 1 species